UACGGAGGGGGCUAGCGUUGUUCGGAAUUACUGGGCGUAAAGCGCACGUAGGCGGCUUUGCAAGUUAGAGGUGAAAGCCCGGGGCUCAACCCUGGAAUUGCCUUUAAAACUGCAUCGCUAGAAUUGUGGAGAGGUAAGUGGAAUUCCGAGUGUAGAGGUGAAAUUCGUAGAUAUUCGGAAGAACACCAGUGGCGAAGGCGACUUACUGGACACAUAUUGACGCUGAGGUGCGAAAGCGUGGGGAGCAAACAGG
rnacentral:rRNA from 1 species